GUGCUGCAUGGUUGUCGUCAGCUCGUGCCGUGAGGUGUCGGCUUAAGUGCCAUAACGAGCGCAACCCUUGUUGUCAGUUACUAACAGGUUCCGCUGAGGACUCUGACAAGACUGCCAUCGUAAGAUGUGAGGAAGGUGGGGAUGACGUCAAAUCGGCACGGCCCUUACGUCCGGGGCUACACACGUGUUACAAUGGGGGGUACAGAGGGCCGCUACCACGCGAGUGGAUGUCAAUCCCCAAAACCUCUCUCAGUUCGGACUGGAGUCUGCAACCCGACUCCACGAAGCUGGAUUCGCUAGUAAUCGCGCAUCAGCCACGGCGCGGUGAAUACGUUCCCGGGCCUUGUACACACCGCCCGUCAAGCCAUGGGAGCCGGGGGUACCUGAAGUGCGUAACCGCGAGGAGCGCCCUAGGGUAAAACUGGUGACUGGGGCUAAGUCGUAACAAGGUAGCCGUACCGGAAGGUGCGGCUGGAUCACCUC
rnacentral:rRNA from 1 species